UACGGGGGGAGCAAACGUUGUUCGGAAUUACUGGGCGUAAAGCGCGCGUAGGCGGCUUUGCAAGUCGGGUGUGAAAUCCCCAGGCUUAACCUGGGAACUGCAUUCGAGACUGCAUUGCUAGAGUAUGGGAGAGGGAAGUGGAAUUUCCGGUGUAGCGGUGAAAUGCGUAGAUAUCGGAAGGAACAUCAGUGGCGAAAGCGACUUCCUGGACCAAUACUGACGCUCAUGUGCGAAAGCGUGGGGAGCAAACAGG
rnacentral:rRNA from 1 species